AAUGAACGCUGGCGGCGGGCCUAAUACAUGCAAGUCGAGCGAAGCGGGGACGGGUGAGUAUCACGUGUAUAACCCCCUAUAAGACUGGGAUUACUUCGUGAAACCGGUGCUUAUCCGGCAACUUAUCGAUGGAUCCGGUCGGCAUUAGCUAGUUUGUAAGGUAACGGCUUACCAAGGCAACGAUGCAUAGCCGACCUGGGAGGGUGAUUGGCCACACUGGAACUGAGACAUGGUCCAGACUCCUACGGGAGGCAGCAGUGGGGAAUCUUCCGCAAUGGGCGAAAGCCUGACGGAGCAACGCCGCGUGAGUGAUGAAGGUCUUCGGAUCGUAAAACUCUGUUAUUAGGGAAGCGGUACCUAAGCAGAAAGCCACGGCUAACUACGUGCCAGCAGCCGCGGUAAUAC
rnacentral:rRNA from 1 species